rnacentral:rRNA from 1 species
UACGAAGGGGGCUAGCGUUGCUCGGAAUUACUGGGCGUAAAGGGCGCGUAGGCGGUCAUUUUAGUCAGGCGUGAAAUUCCCGGGCUUAACCUGGGGACUGCGUUUGAUACUGGGUGACUAGAGGGUGGAAGAGGGUCGUGGAAUUCCCAGUGUAGAGGUGAAAUUCGUAGAUAUUGGGAAGAACACCGGUGGCGAAGGCGGCGACCUGGUCCAUUACUGACGCUGAGGCGCGACAGCGUGGGGAGCAAACAGGAUUAGAAACCCGCGUAGUCC